rnacentral:rRNA from 1 species
GAUGAACGCUGGCGGCGUGCCUAAUACAUGCAAGUCGAGCGAACAGACGAGGAGCUUACUCCUCUGACGUUAGCGGCGGACGGGUGAGUAACACGUGGAUAACCUACCUAUAAGACUGGGAUAACUCCGGGAAACCGGAGCUAAUACCGGAUAACAUGUUGAACCGCAUGGUUCAACAGUGAAAGACGGUCUUGCUGUCACUUAUAGAUGGAUCCGCGUCGCAUUAGCUAGUUGGUAAGGUAACGGCUUACCAAGGCAACGAUGCGUAGCCGACCUGAGAGGGUGAUCGGCCACACUGGAACUGAGACACGGUCCAGACUCCUACGGGAGGCAGCAGUAGGGAAUCUUCCGCAAUGGGCGAAAGCCUGACGGAGCAACGCCGCGUGAGUGAAGAAGGUCCUCGGAUCGUAAAACUCUGUUAUUAGGGAAGAACAAAUGUGUAAGUAACUAUGCACGUCUUGACGGUACCUAAUCAGAAAGCCACGGCUAACUACGUG